UGAAUACGAGAUGCUACGGCGUCGAAGCAGUGUAUGUCAUACUUCCAAGAAAAGCUCGCUAUGUCAUAAACAAUUAAUGCCUGUACCAUAACCGACACAGGUGGGUAGGUAGAGUAUACUAAGGGGCGCGAGAUAACUCUCUCUAAGGAACUCGGCAAAAUGACUCCGUAACUUCGGGAGAAGGAGUACCUUAUUUAUAAGGUUGCAAUAACAAGAUCCAAGCAACUGUUUACCAAAAACACAGGUCUCCGCUAAGUCGUAAGACGAUGUAUGGGGGCUGACGCCUGCCCAGUGCCAGAAGGUUAAAGAAGUUGGUUAGCAUUCGCGAAGCUGAUGACUGAAGCCCUGGUGAACGGCGGCCGUAACGAUAACGGUCCUAAGGUAGCGAAAUUCCUUGUCGGGUAAGUUCCGACCCGCACGAAAGGCGUAAUGAUUUGGAUACUGUCUCGGAGAGGGGCUCGGUGAAAUAGACUUGUCUGUGAAGAUGCGGACUACCUGCACCAGGACAGAAAGACCCUAUGAAGCUUUACUGUAACUUGAGAUUGAAAUUGGACUUUAUUUGUGCAGUAUAGGUGGGAGGCGUUGAAGAAAUUCUUGCGGGAAUUUUGGAGCCAUCAGUGAGAUACCACCCCUAUAAUGUUAGAUUUCUAACUUUGUAUCAUUAUCUGGUCAAAGAACAGUUUCAGGCGGGCAGUUGACUGGGGCGGUCGCCUCCCAAAUGGUAACGGAGGCGUACAAAGGUUUCCUCUGAACGGGUAGAAAUCGUAUCUAGAGUAUAAAGGCAUAAGGAAGCUUGACUGUGAGACCUACAAGUCGAGCAGGGACGAAAGUCGGUCUUAGUGAUCUGACGGUGCUGAGUGGAAAGGCCGUCACUCAACGGAUAAAAGUUACUCUAAGGAUAACAGGCUGAUCUCCCCCAAGAGUUCACAUCGACGGGGAGGUUUGGCACCUCGAUGUCGGCUCAUCGCAUCCUGGGGCGGUAGUACGUCCCAGGGGUUGGGCUGUUCGCCCAUGAAAGCGGUACGCGAGCUGGGUUCAGAACGUCGUGAGACAGUUCGGUCCAUAUCCGGUGUAGGCGUUAGAAUAUUGAGAGGAGCCUUCUUUAGUACGAGAGGACCGAGAAGGACAUACCUCUGGUGUACCAGUUAUCGUGCCAACGGUAAACGCUGGGUAGCUAUGUAUGGAGUGGAUAACCGCUGAAAGCAUCUAAGUGGGAAGCCCACCUCAAGAUAAG
rnacentral:rRNA from 1 species